rnacentral:rRNA from 1 species
CUGGUAGGAGACCGAUAGUGAACAAGUACCGUGAGGGAAAGAUCAAAAGCACUUUGAAAAGAGGGUGAAAAGAACCUGAAACCGUUACGACAGAAGCGUAUUGCGUUGAAUUGAGGGCUGUUUAACUCUUCAGCUGAACGUGAGUUUAGUGUACUGAGUUAAGUAGUUAUCCGUCGUGCCUUUUCUGUGGCUGAUAUUGAGCCGCGGGAGAGGGAGGGAUCCCCUUUAUGGGUGAGGACGAUGGAGUGGCAACGCGAUGCGACCCGUCUUGAAACACGGACCAAGGAGUCUAACAUGUUUGCGAGUUGAAGGGUAGUAAACCUGGAGGCGCAGUGAAAGCGAACUUCUAAAACGGACAGUUUGUGGCGGCAUAAAAUCGUUGAUUUUAGGUCUGACUAAGAGCAAAUAUGUUAGGACCCGAAAGAUGGUGAACUAUGCUUGAGUAGGCCGAAGGCAGAAGAAAUUCUGCUGGAGGGCCGAAGCGGUGCUGACGUGCAAAUCGCUCGUCGAACUCGAGUAUAGGGGCGAAAGACUAAUCGAACCAUCUAGUAGCUGGUUCCCUCCGAAGUUUCUCUCAGGAUAGCGGGCCGACAAUUAUUGUUUUGUGCGGUAAAGCGAAUGAUUAGCGCACUCGGGGGCAUUCAGUCUUCGGUCGAUUCUCAAACUUUUAAUGCGCAAGGGGGCUGCAGCUUAGGUGUGCGGCUCCUCUAAAAAUGUCGGCCUUGUGGGCCACUUUUGGUAAGCAGAACUGGCGAUGUGGGAUGA